rnacentral:rRNA from 1 species
AUUGAACGCUGGCGGCAUGCUUUACACAUGCAAGUCGAACGGUAACAGGCCGCAAGGUGCUGACGAGUGGCGAACGGGUGAGUAAUGCAUCGGAACGUGCCCAGGCGUGGGGGAUAACUACUCGAAAUAGUAGUGAAUAUCGCAUACGAUCUAUGGAUGAAAGCGGGGGACCGUAAGGCCUCGCGCGAUUGGAGCGGCCGAUGUCAGAUUAGGUAGUUGGUGGGGUAAAGGCUCACCAAGCCAACGAUCUGUAGCUGGUCUGAGAGGUCGACCCGCCACACUGGGACUGAGACACGGCCCAGACUCCUACGGGAGGCAGCAGUGGGGAAUUUUGGACAAUGGGCGCAAGCCUGAUCCAGCAAUGCCGCGUGCAGGAAGAAGGCCUUCGGGUUGUAAACUGCUUUUGUACGGAACGAAACGGCUCUGGUUAAUACCCGGGGCUAAUGACGGUACCGUAAGAAUAGGCACCGGCUAACUACGUG